UACGUAGGGUGCGAGCGUUGUCCGGAAUUAUUGGGCGUAAAGAGCUCGUAGGCGGUUUGUCGCGUCUGCCGUGAAAGUCCGGGGCUCAACUCCGGAUCUGCGGUGGGUACGGGCAGACUAGAGUGAUGUAGGGGAGACUGGAAUUCCUGGUGUAGCGGUGAAAUGCGCAGAUAUCAGGAGGAACACCCGUAGCGAAGGCGGCACUCUGGGCCGAUACUGACACUGAGGAGCGAAAGCGUGGGGAGCGAACAGG
rnacentral:rRNA from 1 species